rnacentral:rRNA from 1 species
AUGGGGAACAUACACCAGGCCGGCGUCAAGAAAGAUGACCAUGGCGGCGGUGACAACCAGCAGCUACAGGUGGUCUCCGUUCUCGAGCUCCAGGCCGGCGUUGUGGAAGACCAGCCGCAGCCUCUCGGCGGAUGGCAUGCCGUCGAGGCAACCUCCAUGUUGGAAAAUUGCAAGGCAAACAGUACUGCUACAGAUGGAGGCACCAGCAGCAGGAUAGAUAUCCUCGGGCCUGCAACCGAACAGAAUAUCCCAAAACCCAGUGAUCCUCCUCAUCCAUGCCCGCCGCCACAGUCGCUGCCGGAGGGUGUGCAGUCCGUGCUCAAAACGUCACGGGUUAAUCGAAAGUGCAUUGGAGACGGUGAUGGCUUCACUGCUUAUGAGGAGAGGAUUGCAGGUGAUACAAACAUCCGAGAUCCACCGAAAUACAAAAUUAGAAUGAAGGGGAUUGAUGCACCGGAGCUGGAUAUGGAAUAUGGCAUGGAGUCAAAGGAUGAAUUGGUGAGGCUUAUUGGGGGGAAGCGUGUUUCGAUUCUUGUGUAUGGGCCAGACAAAUAUGGACGAUCUCUUGGUGACAUCUACUGUGACGGUGUCUUUAUCCAAGAACAAAUGCUGAAAGGGGNNNNNNNNNNNNNNNNNNNAAUGUGUGAUUUUCUCAUCCUUAAUUAUACAUGGCAUGUGUUUCUCGCUCACAUUUUAAUCAAUUGUUUUGUUCAGUGGCAGAGAGAGGCGAAAAAGGCACGCCGAGGGCUUUGGUCGUUAGAUAAACCACAGAAACCAUGGAUUUGGAGGAGAGAUAAUCCACGCAUCGACAACAAGAAGGGGAAUGCAGAUGACAUUCAGGUAGAACCGCAGAACCAGGUCAAUGAGAGCAGUAUAGCUCUACCAUUGCUGAUAAUGAAAGAUAUGGAGGAUCUGGGUAGGAAAUGGAAAGGGAGUUUGGAAAAUUUUGUGUCUGAGAACAUGAAACUACACGAUCAGGUACAGGAGUUAAAGAGAGAUAAGAAGGAGGCUGAGGAACGUGCUAGGAAGGCAGAAAAAGAAAUGGAAAGUGCUGUGGCUGACAACAUGAAGCUGAAUGCUCAGCUUCAGGAAUCUGAAAUUAAUAAAAAGGAGGCCGAGGACCGAGUUUUACAGUUGGAUUUCUUCUCAGGAAGUGUUGCAGCUGUGAACAUGGAUUUGCACAAUAAGAUUGAGGUUUUAGAGAAUGAGAAUAAAAAGGCCGAGGACCGAGCAAAGGAGGCAGAAAGUGAAAUGGAGAGUGUUGUGGCUGAGAACAGGAAACUGAACGAUCAGCUCCAGGUAGUAGAGGGCCAAGCAGUGAAGCUGAAAUAUUUUUGUGAAAAGGUUGCAGGUGUAAACAUAGUUUUGCACCGUAAGCUGGAGGGUUCAGAGGAGAAGAAUAAAAUGUCCAAGGAGCAAGCCAAGGAGACAGAGAAGGAGAUGAAAAUUGUUCUGGAUGACAAUGUGAAACUAAGCGGUCAGAUUCAAAAAUUAAAUAUGUUAAAUAAAGAGAUUACCGCCUUUGCUAAUAAUAGUAAAAGGAAAUUGCAAAGUGUUCUAGCCGUAAACAUGGAUUUGGAUAAGAAGGGGGAGGAGGGAGCUACUUUGCCAAAUAAGGAAUUGGAAACCGUUGGAGUUGAAAACGUGAAGGGGAAAUUACAAGGCAUAAGUCACAAGAAGAGUGAACAAACUGUGGAGACCCCAUCGGCAACUCCAACCAAAGACUCUGGCGUGAAAAAACCCACUGUGUGGCGGAUAAAAACGACCGCAACGACAUCUUCGGCGCCUCCACCAAAGGGUCAUUAUGAAUAG